rnacentral:lncRNA from 10 species
GAGCUGCUGAUUUCAGUGAAGCUGACCCUCCAUCCUGAGCUGGUCUGGCCUGAGAGAGGUAGGGGUGAGAUGUGCUGGGAAGCCAGAAAGGGAGGUGCUGGUAAGAGACACCCCAUCCAGGGCCAGAACCGCGAGAAUUCAUCUCUAUCCAUUCUGUGCCUGCAAGCAGAGUGAUCUUCCAGAAGUGUUAACUGGAUUGCACUGAGCCCCAGGUCCAGGGCACCUGUUCCAUUGCACUCAGGGGGCAAUCUGGACCCCUACCUAUGGACUGCCACUCAUCUGCUCCAAUCUCACAAGCCUCCUGACUCUGCCAUCUCAGACCUGUUACAUACAAACUCUCUGAAGUGCACACAGCAGCUGGCAGCAUGCAGAGGAUACUCAGCAUGCAACAGCUCUCUUGGGAGCAAGGCGUCAAUCCAUGAAGGCUGAGGAAUGGCUCUCCAAGGGCUGGCAGCAAUGUGGCUGCCAACGGUAUAGUGAUGGAAAGUGCCACCAAGCUAUAUAAUAAGCUGCUAUUAUUACUUUUGGUCUUUUCAGCCACAAGCACAUAAGCAGAGACUGUAGAAAUGCCAUCACCCAUAGAGGCACCUCCAAAGAUGAAGGAAUGUGUAUUGGGACAUGUGUGUCUAUUCCAAACCAAAUACUUCCUGUAAGAGGGU